rnacentral:lncRNA from 1 species
UUGAAUCAAAGAAAGAAGACUGUCUGCUGUGGCAGGAAUGGAGGUUGGGGGGAAGGAGGCUGCAAGUCUGUAAGUCCUGAACUUUGGAAUUAAUUUUACUCCUGACUGAUUAUGUGACUUUGGCAAGUUUCCUCUGUCUUUGGGGUUUUGCUUCCUCAAAUACUGCAGAGGAAGGAAUGCAAGCUCCAUCAUCAGUGGAACUUCCUGCCACAUGUAUGAAAGGUAACACUUCAUUUCCCCUGGAAUUCACACUGCGAAUACUUCAGGUUUUUUUCCUAUUUCAUAUUGCUAUUCUAGACCACUUUUUUCUCUAAGUCUUCCAUGACCACUUCUCUGAGAGAUGACCAUCCUCUAAGAAUGACAUAACCAUAGCCUUCCUGUUCUUCACCAAGUUGAAAGCCACCUUCUCCAAGAAAGCAGCUUACUGUCUAUCCUGAGCUGUGCCUGGAUAAUAAGUCUUCUAACAGAUUUUU